GAGAUGUGGGUAGUCCGUACGAGCGCACCUUGAUCCUUAUUUGCCAGCACGUAAUGGUGGGAACUCUAAGGAGACUGCCGGUGACAAACCGGAGGAAGGUGGGGACGACGUCAAGUCAUCAUGGCCCUUAUGACCAGGGNCUACACACGUGCUACAAUGGAGCGUACAGAGGGUUGCUAAGCCGCGAGGUGGAGCCAAUCCCAGAAAACGUUUCGUAGUCCGGAUCGAAGUCUGCAACUCGACUUCGUGAAGUCGGAAUCGCUAGUAAUCGCGAAUCAGCAUGUCGCGGUGAAUACGUUCCCGGGCCUUGUACACACCGCCCGUCACACCAUGGGAGUGGGUUGCAAAAGAAGUGGCUAGUCUAACCUUCGGGAGGACGGUCACCACUUUGUGAUUCAUGACUGGGGUGAAGUCGUAACAAGGUAGCCCUAGGGGAACCUGGGGCUGGAUCACCUCCUU
rnacentral:rRNA from 1 species